rnacentral:rRNA from 1 species
CAGCAGCCACGGUAAAACAGAGGGUGCGAGCGUUAAUCGGAUUUACUGGGCGUAAAGCGUGCGUAGGCGGCUUCUUAAGUCGGAUGUGAAAUCCCUGAGCUUAACUUAGGAAUUGCAUUCGAUACUGGGAAGCUAGAGUAUGGGAGAGGAUGGUAGAAUUCCAGGUGUAGCGGUGAAAUGCGUAGAGAUCUGGAGGAAUACCGAUGGCGAAGGCAGCCAUCUGGCCUAAUACUGACGCUGAGGUACGAAAGCAUGGGGAGCAAACAGGAUUAGAUACCCCGGUAGUCCCUGUCUCUUAUAA